GCUUUUGGCGAGGUGCCUUCCGAGUUCCCUGGAACGGGACGCCAUAGAGGGUGAGAGCCCCGUCUGGUCGGACACCGAGCCUCUGUAAAGCUCCUUCGACGAGUCGAGUAGUUUGGGAAUGCUGCUCAAAAUGGGAGGUAUAUGUCUUCUAAAGCUAAAUAUUGGCCAGAGACCGAUAGCGCACAAGUAGAGUGAUCGAAAGAUGAAAAGCACUUUGAAAAGAGGGUUAAAAAGUACGUGAAAUUGUUGAAAGGGAAGCGCCUAUGACCAGACUUGGGCCCGGUGAAUCAUCCAGCGUUCUCGCUGGUGCACUUUGCCGGGCACAGGCCAGCAUCAGUUUGGCGCGGGGGAAAAAGGCUUUGGGAAUGUGGCUCCCUCGGGAGUGUUAUAGCCCAUUGUGUAAUACCCUGCGCCCGACUGA
rnacentral:rRNA from 1 species